GGGCAGUGUUUCGUUGUGUUGUACAUAGGAUCAGUAUGAGUCAGAACUAUCUCGAUGGCACCUGACAACAAAAACAGCAACAACAAUAUAUUGUUUAUAUAUUAUGGUGUUGGUUUUUGUAAUGUACAUAAAUGUCUUUUACAAUUCAGUGUAAAAAUAAGUACUGAACAGUUGUUUUAAAAAUGGACAUGAAUACUAACAGAUAAAUCACAGAAGAAAUUCCUGGCAGGAAAACAUGUAUAAUAUCUCAAACACACGAACCAUUCAAAAAUAUCUUUUUAAAUCCAGUUGUGAUACAUUUUCAGUUUUGUAGAGAUGUAAAAUGUCAUGAUAGCUAGGAGGUAAGGGAGUAGCUGUCAAUGGACACAAAUGGAAUCUAGAAAGAUGGAUCAAGAUUAUUGUAUGACAGACACUGUUCACCCUCCAUUAGAUAGCUGUCUGUUCUGGAGGUCCAGCUGAGGAUUUUGUCAUCUUUAACUGUAUUUACAACCUCCCAGCUUGAUUCUCAUCUCAGAUUCCCUAAUUCACCUGUCUGCCAGAGCAGUCUAAAGGGAAGACACAAUGAACCUCACCACAUUCUUUUUAGAAGCCUUCAGGUGACAUGCUUCAAGAGUUUUAGAAAUAAGGAAUGAUCAGAGAAGAACACAAAGAUUAUAUAGUAUCAUUUGCCUAGAUAAGAAGUGGAAAUUGCCCCCUUUUAAUUGUUGAACAUUUGGAUUCAUAACUUUUGUGACAUCCCUUCACUUUCAUCUGUAUCCCCUAAGAAUCUCCAGACAUUUGUAUGGAAGGAUGAGUUAGGCAGAUUUGGAGUUAUAGUUUUUAAAGUCUUCUGGAGCAUCCUGAGGAUUUUAAUCGUGGACUGCUGUGGAAGUCUAAACCUCCUGCUGCUCUAAGGCGCCUGUGGUCUGAGCCCUGCUGUAGAGCCAUUCUCUAGAUCUUCCUCUCUGUGUUCAUCACCUGGUCUUAACAGCAUCAUGACAGGAUCUGUUACUCCAGAUUCCUCCCAAAAAUGCCCCUGUGUCACAACUUGGCAAGUGCCUAAAGAGUAUCUCUUCAGUUUAGAAUUAUUUCCAAUGCAUAAAACUUGAAAUAUUUGGGCUACACUGGACAAUAUCAACUAGACAUAACCCAGCCCUAGAGGAAUUUAUGGAUAGAAAGAGAAGAAGUCAGCUAGACCCUUCACCCAGCUACAGAAAUAUGGACAAAAUAAUACUGAUUUAUUCAUCCUCAACUUAAGGUGAACUUCAUCUUGCCUUUCAAGUGUUUACAUUUCAUCGGGUAAUCGUUGGAUUUGGAAAGAGAAAAACCGAGAAUAUUUGUUUUUCUUGCUAUGAAAUGCUGACUUCCCUUGGAAAAAUUGAUCUAUGUUAGUUUUAAAAACAGCUCUAAAUUUUAAAAUCAUAUUAAAUUACUUUUCUAUAUGUGUGUACCCUUGCCAAUUUGUUGUUUAAAUACUUGGAGAUUAUUUUUUGGACAGUGUUGUUUCAAUGAAAUAUAAACUACUAAUUAAAUGAUAAUAUGUAUGAAUUGUUUGUUGGAUGUUAGGAGAUCGGAGAAUGAAAUUAGAUAUGUAAUAGUUAUAUUUUUUUCUUUAUCUUUGAAGUCUAAUAUUCAAGCAUAGAGGCCUAGAUUUAUGAAUAUAAAGCUAUUUUCAGAUAAUUUUAAUGGUUGAUGUGAUAGAGCUGGUUUCAUAAGGAAGCUUUAAGAGACUUGGUAAAAUUGUCUUCCAGACAUUUUUGAAAGGCCAUCUUUUAAAGCUAUACACAAUUCUGAAGUCAUGAGUGUGUAUGGGUGGCAGAAAAGAAAAUGACAUGAAAAACGUUUUGUAGGUAAAUUAGAAAAAAAUUAUUUUAGCUGUUUAUGUGUAUUUUGAGAAUACUGUAUAUUAAGUAAUCAAAUAUGAGUAAUUGCUUUGUGACAUUUCCUUGAGAUUGCUAACAUGACAAGUGAUAUUUUUUGGAAAUGAGUUCAUAGCAUAUGGUAUGGCAGAAGAAAUUUUUUUAAAUACUUUUUGUUGAUGAAGAAAUAUUUCCUGAAUCAUUUUGGAAAUAGGAUUGUUAGCAUAUCUCUGAUACACAAUAACGUACUUUGAUUGGGUUAAUUUAUAGGUUUUUUGGGGCCACUGUUCUGUAUAUAACAGAAAAACUUAUUAAGGCAACUACUUUAUGUGUGGAGUUCAUGGAUGUAGAUGUUGUUUUUUCUGUUAAAUGGUCUUUCUGUUAAAAUCUAUGGUAUAGAUCUCCUUUUAACAAUGGUAUUGAUGUACAAGAGUACAGCCUCAAUGGAUGUUCAGGGUUGGGUAGACUUUUGUAUUACUCUGUAUAAAAUAGACAAAUUAUGAAACAUAGAGGUGACCCACAUUUUGCAUUUCUUUUUGCCAUUUACAUUGUUAGACCGUCUAUGGUUUUGUUGGUUGCCGAGAGCAAUGUACAGACUGCUUUGUCUGUAUUAGACAAAUGUAAAAUUUGGAUUCAGAAGAUAGAGGAUGGGUUCUUUUGGAGUUCUGUAUGCAUACUUCUCGUACUCUUGAUACUCUGUGCUCAGAUGUUGGGGAUCUGCAUAUAUAUUGUAAGCAUCCUAAUGUGGAACUGAGGUAUACUUUUUCCCCCUUUUGCCAGUGAAUUUGUUACAUUGUCUAUCAACAGUAAUUUAUUGCUGGUGGAUAGUGUCAUAUGUUUUUGUUUAUAAUGUUCAAUAUUUUUGUUUUAUGUGUAAUUGUCUAGAUACAUAGCUAUUGCUGUAAAUAAAUAUCAAAUUAUUAGGAUAGAACCAUUUUGUUUACAUCUAGCCUCUGUAUUCUUUUGGAUCAUUAGUCUUAAUUUUUAGGUUUUAUUACAGUGCAUGAUGUUUAUUAUAGUGUACGUAUUAGUGUUUCUCUGAUAAGGUGCAACAUGGUUUGAAAUGCCAUUGUAACAGUGUAUGUCUUUGGUUGUUUUUGGUUUUUGGAUGUUUAUGUGUACAAAUAGACCCAGAUCCUUGUGGAACAUCUAGAAGUCUCUGCAUGUGGUGAAAUAGCAUAUGUUAGAAAAAUUUUCAUUUGCCAGUGAAAUUUUUAAUUGUUCUUGUUUUAAAACACAUUUCUAGUUGUAUAGUCAUUCAGAUAAUUCACAAGAUUUUCUGGGGGUGGCUAGAAAUUGUGUAUCAAACUUCUGAGUUUGUUAGGUUUGAGGGCUUACAUGGUAUUUUUGUAUUGUGUGUAUAAUCACAAUUUUUACAUAAUUUUUUUAAGCCUAGAAACUCAUAUAUCUGCAUAUUUUGUAAAUUUAUUAAGAUACUGUAAUAUAUAGUGAAAACGUCCCCCCCACCCAUGUAUCAGGCUACCUCGGUUUUAUAUGAUUGGGUGGCUGAAAGGGAGUUUUAUUAGACUAUUGUGUAGAAAAUAGUCACAAUAUAUAAUUGUUUUUGCAUAACAUUUUAGUCUUUGAUAUGUAGGAAUUGUGGGCAUACAUAUUUUUUGUAUUUGUAUGUAUAUACAUCCAUGCAUUAAUGUACAUACAUAUUAGUAUUAUGUGAAUACAUAAAAUAGUAUUUAUUAAAGUCAUAGGACAGAAACUUCGUUGGGCCAAUAUAAUUAUUAUCCUGCCCUGAUCUGUGUUGUUUGAAUUGUCGGAGGUUGGGAAGUAUUAUAGGAAGUUUUAGUUUGUAAUCUUUAUUAAGUUGCUGGAGGAUAAUGUGAGACCAAUAGAUUCAUGUUAGAUGUUAUUUUUUUCAUUUUUAACAUCUGCAUAGGGAUUAGUACUAUGCAUGUAUUUUGUGACAAUAUCAGGUGGAAACACUUUAGUUUGGGCAGUUGAAUUGCUAGACCAUGUCUAAUUGGAAUUUAUUUGGUUGCUGGAGUAUAUUAUUGAAUUGUUUACAUUGAAAAUAAAUGCCAUUAAACAAACAAACAAAAAAAACACUUUUUGGGCACACAGUUUCUGUCAAAUUUUUUGGAAAUAAUUUUCUUUGGAAUUUAAAGGGUAAAAUCAUUGGUUGCCUAAAGAUAAAUAUAGCAGAGAAAGCAUCUGCCUGAGUUUCUUAGGCCGAGUUUGGUUUUGAGAUUCUUCUUUGUUUCUUUUUGGGGUUUGGAGAGUUUUUAAUUAGAUUUUUUUAAUACGUAAGUAAUCACUGCCAUUCAUAUUUGUGAAUGUGCAAAUAUGUAUAAUUUUCAUAUUCCGGUCUAAUUGUUGACUUGCUUCUGUGUUCCUUAGGCUGUUGGAUGGGGAAGAGCAGGAAGCAUUUGACUGUAUGUGUAUUAGACAAGCUUCUCGUAUGAUAUCUAAAAUACCUCUUCAAGGAAUACAUACAUAGUAAAGUAACUCUUAGCAAUAGAAAUGUUAAAUCAACUCUAUAUGUGUUUUUACUUUGUGACUUUAUGUAUAAGGGAGUGGUUAUUAGACAGUUGUGUGUAUAGUAGUCAGAUAUUUUUGUUAAUACCAUGUAUCUUCAUAGAUGUGCAGAAAUUACUGUCGUGUUUUGUAAAUAUAUUUGCCUGAAGUUACAGAGCAAAGCUUUUUUUGUUUUUUCUUCUAGAAAUGAAAUAGACCGAUGAAUAGAAAAGUCCUCUGGACUGUUGAGUGGGAUAUUUACACUUUUGUGUAUGUAGUUAGAUAUUUCUUUAAAAUAAUGUUCUAAGUGUAUAGACAUUACCAAUAUACAUAUAUUUUUUUAAAUAUAAGAGUUUUUUUUUUAAUCACUACAAUCUUUAGCUUCCUUCUUGGGGUUCACUGGUUUGUCAGAAGUUGUAUAGACAAGGAUAUUGUUUUGUGACCUCAUGUCUGUAAUAUACAGUGUUCUUUAUAUUCUUUAUUGGUGUAGAGAUUGCAAACAUGCAUAUAUUUUAUAUGCCUCCUAUUGUUAAAACAAUAUGGUGGAGAUGUAUAACUUUUGCAGAUGACUGUAGGAACUCUAUAUGGGUGGCUCUUUGGGGUUCAUUGUUAGACAGCUGUGUUUGUAAUAUUUGUAAACAUUUUUGACAAAUGACAGUAGAAAAAUUGCUUUUAGUGACUGAUUGUUAGUUCACCUUUAUAUAGUCUGCAUUGUAUCACUGUGAUUUAUAGAUGAAUUACUGGGAAGUUGAGUUAACAAAAGUCUCUUCGAGAUAUAUUUUUAUUAUUUUGUAUUCUUCCUGUCAGGAUGGGAGACAGAGUGAUGAUUAAAAAGGUUUUUUGCCGUACAUAAUCAUUUAGAGGAAAAUUUUUAGGCUGAAAUUAAGCUUUUCAAGUUCAUUUUAUAUAAACAUUCCUCUGCCUCUUUAAGAGACUUGUAAAGAACAUCUUAUAGACUAUGUUUCAAUGUUCAUUUGUUCCAUGGCGAUAUUCAAGAAAACUGUGUAAAUAAUGGGAAAACGAAAUAUUUGAAAUUUAAACAUCUAGUAUUUCUAGAUGUAUCGAGAGUCUCUUAAAGUAUAAUUUUAUAAGUUUCUCGUUGUAAAUUUGUAUUUCUAUUGUCUGUUGCAAUGGACUUGGCAAUGAAAUUGAUCAUUGAUGAACAGGCUCUUGGAGCUAUACAGAAUUUAUCAUACAUUAAUUUGAUUGUUAGGAGAAGGAGAAAAUAAAAAGUGAAGUUCUCAUGUAGAAGAAAAGUUUUACAUUGUAUAAAUAGUAUACUUCCUCCUCCCCCCUCCCAAAAAAAAAAAACGUGAAGUGCAUGAAGACAAUAUUUCAUUUGGUCAUUCUGGAUGUAUCAGAUUUCCCAAUGUGAUAUUAUUGUUUUGCUGAUAACAUUCAUGAUAUAGAUGACUUUAUUAAAGAGAUUUUAUACUACCUCUUGCAGCUAUAUACUCUUCUGUAUGUGCUCCCUUGGUUGCGUGACAAUAUUCAACAUCAACUUUGUAAAUAAGAGGCAGGCACAAGUUUUUAAUUUUUAACAUCUAGUCCUUUCUAGAUGUAUAGAGUCUCACUAAGUAUAAUUUUGUAAAUAAUCCAUUGUAAAAUUUCAUGGUUUCAUCAUUUUCUACAAAUAUCUUACCAAUGAAAUUGAUAAAGUUGUGGGAUUUUGAGGUAUAAAUAUUUUGGUAUCUGCUUAUUAAAUUGUUAUAGUAAGAAGAAGUGAAAAGUUCUGUAUUUUUACCAUUUUUGUUUUCCUUGAAAAAGUUUUAAUAUUAACCAUUGUUUAGUGUUUGUAUUGUAUACAUUAAAAAAACUGGUAUGACUAAAUCAUAAUUUUCUACUUGUAUUGAGUUAUUCAUAGGGCAUUCUAUAAAUAUAUAUUUUAUAAUCAUUAUAGGAAAUGUUUUAUACAUAAAGACAAUUGUAUCCUACCUCCUUCAACUAUACUGUUUUGUAUGUAAUUGGACUGUGUGACAACAUUCAAGACAACUUUGUAAAUAACAAAUAAUGCCAUUAAAAAAAUCUAGUUAUUCCAGAUGAAUGGAGUCUCACAGGGUAUAAAUUUGUAAAUAUUUCAUUGUAAGAUAUCAUAGUUACAAUGGCUUUUGUAUUUUUUUUUUUUUGGCAGUAAAAUAGAUAAUAAUUGGCCUAUUUAAGGCUAUAUAACAUUGUGGUGUCUGUUCCGUGAGUUUUAAUGGAGCAGGAUAAACGGAUUUUACCACUAUGUCUUCAGAGUUUGUUUCAUGUAGAGGAAAAGUUUAGAUUGUAGUCAUUGGUCUUUGGGAGCAUUGUAUACUUAUAACCAAGAAAGAAACCCCUGGGAUGUAUUUUAUCUUUAGGAAGAAAGAGGAAGACAUGAGAAUGGAAUUGUCAUUUUAAAUUAGAGCUACACACAAAGUUAAAAGACAUUCAAAUGAUUAAAAUUAUUGUUAUUUUUCUAUACUAUGUGAAUGUACUUAUGAAAAUUUAUAUAUAGAUGAAUAUCUGUGUAUAAAUAAUACAUAUGCAUCAUAAAUAUAUACACACAUAACACAAAACUAGUACAGAUCUGAUAACUGCUCUAUUUCAGGACUAUUACCUUAUUCUUAUUAACUUACUGAUUUAGAUUUUAUUUCUGUUUGAAGACUCUGGUAAUUAUGUUUUAUUUCUAUGCUUAGACACAUUUCUAGAAGUCUGCUUUACUGGUAUAACCAAAAAUAUUGCAGUUCUUAUAUCCAUUUGUUUUCUAAUCUGUUCCCAUGUGUAUACAUCUGCAUGAGAAUGACUUCUGUGAUGAUGAAUGUUUUGUUUUUCUGAUAGUUUUUAAAGAGAUUUACUGUGGAUGUAUGUUGUGUGAUAAUCACAAAUGAAUGUCAAAAGAGUUCUAUAUCUCACCGUGUAAAUAAGUUAGAAUAAUUUAAAGAUACUAGCCAGUGUUAGGCAAAAUAUAAUAAAAAUAUUUGGUAAUGACAAUCAAAAUUGAGCAUGUACAUUACUUUUGAAAUGGUGUAAUUUCCUGCCGGGAUCUUAUCUAUUCCAGUCCUCAAAAUUUUAAGAGAAAUGUGUAUUAUAGAUUAAAAUAACAAAUAACCUGAACAUCUGAAAUAUAUAUCAAUAAUCAAAAGAAAUCUGGUAAUGAUUAUAGUUUGUUCAACGUGAUUAUAAUUCAUACACUGAAAUAAUAUUCUGAAAUGGAAGGGUAUUUGUAGUAUUUUCAUAUUUAAAAUACCAUAAUAUAUUAUAAAACAUUAUGUCACCAUAGAACAACCAUCAACUAGUUGUCAGUUUUUGCAGAGUUGUGUAGGUAGGCGUCUAGAUAUUCUAACCGACAUGUUAAUGGUAAUUGUUCCUGAGGAAUGGGAUUAGCCUAAUAUCAUUAUGAAGUUUACUAAUGCUUACUCCUCAGUGUAAUGAAAAUGGUGAUUAUUUUAACAUUCUAUUUGAAAUAUAAAUAUUUGGAUUUAAAAAGUUAAACAUUUUGUCUACGUAUAUUGCUAUAUGACAAAAAUCUUAAAUAAUAUGAUUAUGAAUAGAAAAUUAUCUGUAAUAAAACAUUAAAAUAUUUUUAAACAGUUCUGUAAAGAGGUGGCAAUAAAAUGACUGCUUCUACUUUCUGCAUUUGAAGUUUCAAGAGUAUUUCAACAGGGAAUUUUAAAAAGACAACCUAUUUAUGCCUGUCUUUAUUCCUGCUUAUCAUCUUGGGAGUGUUGGGCUGUUGUAUUCAACGUUGUAUUCUCAGUGGCCAUUAUGAACGGUUUUUGAAUGAUCUCAUGAAGAGCAUGUGAUUUAGAGACUAGUGCAGCAGAGAGUCUUACACAGUGAAACAGUAUUGGAUUACCCAUGGAAAGAAGAAAAGAGAAAAUGGGAUUUGAGGUAAUCAUGAUGAGCAAAAUACAUAUCUGUAAAUAAGCUAAGGACAGCUGACAUUUGCAAUGCCACCCCUCUUACAGAGUCCCUUAAUUCAUAAGUCUUAACUGCAAACCACAGGUAAGAACGUUUUGGACCAAAAAGUGUUGUUUUGAGGUGUGAGGCUUUGCCUAGUUUAAGGAAAAUAAUACUGGUGCAGACCUUUACAAUUUUUGGUCAUGGGAAAGAAUUAGCAUGACUUAAAGAUUCUACCAAAGUAAACAUGAACAAUAAUAAGCAGAAUGCUGGGGAUUAUUUCUGUCUUCAUUCUGUUCACUUAUUUGUAUUUACCAUUUACUUGUUUCUGUUUACUUGUUAUCAAACAUUAAAAUGUAAGUAAUGUCAUAAAGUAAAUGACCACUUCAGUGUCCAAGAAUUAGAAAUUAUGAAAUGGAGUAACUUUUUAUGUUGUGACAAAUACUGUUUGGGGUUAUGGUGAAGAGGGAAAUUCAUGUAAAUGGAUAAAAACAUCCUAAUAUUGAACAGAUAAGAUUGUAGACCCAGCUAUGGAUUGAUUAAUGAGCAAUUGUUCCUAUUGGUUAACAGAAAUGUUUAACAAAGUUCAAUAUGAAUCUUUUUUCCUGCUUCCCUCACCUGUACUGUAAGAAUGAUGUGUCUCACCUUACAGGUCAGGAGGUAAUAGUUCCCGGAAGAAACACUUUUGCCGUCUUUGUUUUUAACUGCAAGAGUAGCACCACCAGUGAAUGACCUAUUGCAGUAUUCCUCGUUCAAGAAUUCUUCACUACCAUUUCUGGUAAUGACCGCAUAAGAAACUGAUGCCAUUGCUUCUACGACAAGCUUCACCAAAAUGAAAAUAUAACCUUCCUCAUGCAUGCAGUUUCCUCCCUUUCAUGCUGCAGUGGACACUUCUUGCAGAUCAGAAAAUGGUAUAAGAAAGCUGAUGUUCACUGAAAAAAACCAUCAUUUUGAAGAAUUCAGAGGUGUAGAAAUUUGCAAAAAUAUCCCGUGUAUAUAAUCACGUUUUCCUCCUAAUUGACGCUUAAAAUUAUUUUGCAAGAUGGAAAGAAAUGCAGUUUUAAUUUCAUUUGCACCAAAUUUAAUACAUUAACUAGGAGAGACUAGAUCUCUUUAAAAUUGAGUCUUCUUAACCAACUACAAGGUAUGUCUUUCCGUUUUUAUCAAAUGAUUGAAUUGGAAUAUUGAUAGCACAACUUCAUUGUUAAUUUUUUUUCCAAAAUCCCUUUCCAGUCAUUUCCUAGAUUGAUUAAUUUUUGGUAAUUUAAUGAUUAGAAUUGUUGUUACUCAAUUUAUUUUCUUAAUAAUAUAUGAAAGACAUUUUUGUACAUUUUUACUAACAGUAUUUCAUUGGAUUUCUAAAAUUGUGUUUCUUUUCUCACAGUUUAUCAGUGUUAUCUUGAUAAAGUAAAUUAGUAAUACUUUUAGUAUAAGUAGUAGAAAGUGCUCUUGACUAUUUGAAUGUUAAUGCCAGUAGCCUUGGUUUGAGGUUUGUUUUAGAAAACAUCCUUUUAUUAAGAAAUUUUCAUCAACUUGGGUGACAGAUUUAAUAAAAAUGCCUUCAGCAUUUUGUAGUUGAUUUUAUAAUCACUGAUAAGGUUGAACAAUAUUUCUGGAAAUGAAACAUUUCUUGCAUUCUGUGACUGAAUGAACUAAGUUUAUUUUGAAAUACUCCCUCAUUGUAAUUGUUAUAAUUUUAUUUGCAGUUUCUGAAGGAAUGUUCCAGAGUUGACAACCUGUAGCAUUAUUUUUCUUCUGUUUUUGUCACGGUUUUGUAUUUGAUUUACUGGCUUUUCUGGAAAGAGUUGAGGAUUAGCAUCGUUUCCUUUACUUUUUGCUUUGAAAUACUUUUUUUACCUACAAAAUAGUUGCAAUGCAAUUUUUAUAUAAUUCCUUUAUAGGCCCUAGCUUCUACUUAUAUUUUCUUUCAUAUGCACGAUAAGUUACCAAAACCAGAAAAUUAAAUUGAUGUACUGCUAAUUGAUUCACAUACCUUAUUCAAACUUCCAGUAUUAAAGUCAUUUUUUUGGUCCAAGAUUUAAUUUAGGAUUCCACAUUGCAUAUAGUUGUGAUGUUCUCCUGGCCUGGUGAUCUACUUUCAAAAAUCAGCCACUGAAAAUCCUGUGGAAAUACAAUUCUACUCUGACACACAUGGGAUUGCCAUGAGUCAGAAUUGACUCACUGACAGCUGUUUUUAAUGUCCCACAAUGUGCGUUUGUCUUAUUUUCGUCAGUUUAGAUUAAGGCUGUGCAUUGCUAGCAAGAGUACAACAGGAAUGAUGUGCCCUUCUCAGUACAUCAUCAGGAGGCACAUGAUGUGGAUGUAUCUUACUGCUGGUGAUGCUUCAUUUGAUUAGUAUUACAGUUAAUCAUUUUCAUUGAGAAUAUUUUUUAUUUUUAUUGUACUUUAGGUGCAGGUUUACAGAACAAAUAGUUUCUCAUUAAACAGUACAUAUAUUGUUUUAUGACAUUGGUUAACAACCCCAGAAUAUAUCAACACUCUCCCUUCGUGACUUUUUUUUGCGGGGGGAAUAUACAUAGCCAAAGAUAGACCAUUUAAAAAUUUCUACAUGCACAAUUCUGCAACAUCGAAUACGUUUUUCUGU